rnacentral:rRNA from 1 species
AGCAGCCGCGGUAAUUCCAGCUCCAAUAGCGUAUAUUAAAGUUGUUGCAGUUAAAAAGCUCGUAGUUGAAUUUCGGGAUUAGUAGUCUGGUCGUGCCACUGGUAUGUACUGGUCUUACUGAUUUCUCCUUCCUGAAGAACUGUAAUGUCAUUAAUUUGGUGUUGCGGGGAAUCUGGACUGUUACCUUGAAAAAAUUAGAGUGUUUAAAGCAGGCUAACGCUUGAAUACAUUAGCAUGGAAUAAUGAAAUAGGACGUUCGAUCUUAUUUUGUUGGUUUCUAGGAUUGACGUAAUGAUUAAUAGGGAUAGUUGGGGGCAUUAGUAUUCAAUUGUCAGAGGUGAAAUUCUUGGAUUUAU